AUACCAUGGUGAGGGCACUUUUGUAAUAACUCUUUGAAUCACUCAUAUGCCUCAUAUAAUGAUUUUUCGUCAAGUUGUUGAAAUGAGGUGAUUUCAUUUUGGAACUU
rfam:Gossypium raimondii chromosome 6, whole genome shotgun sequence.